CAGGAAUUAACUGCAUGGACAGAACUAAUACAAAACUGAGUCACCCCUCUGCUCACUGAGAUAGAUGCUAUCUGAUUGCCUCCUUUGGAAAGGCUAAGCAGAAACUCAAAAGAAUGCAACUUUCCAUCUCUCACCUAUCUGUGACCUGGAAGCCCAGUCCCUGCUUUGAGUCUUCCUGCCUUUGCUUCAAGCUGUCCCGCCUUUCCAGACCAAACCAAUGUACUUCUUACAUAUAUUGAUGUCUCAUGUCUCAUGUCUCCCUAAAAUGUAUAAAACUAAACUGUGCCCCUACCACCUUGGGCACAUGUCGUCAGGACUUCCUGAGGCUGUGUCAUGGGCAC
rnacentral:lncRNA from 1 species